GUGGUUGUGGCUCAGCGGUAGCGCGCUCACCUAGCACAUGUGAGGCCCUGAGUUCGAUCCUCAGCACCACA
rnacentral:tRNA from 1 species